rnacentral:rRNA from 1 species
UACGUAGGGGGCAAGCGUUGUCCGGAAUCAUUGGGCGUAAAGCGCGUGUAGGCGGCCAGAUAAGUCCGCUGUGAAAUCUCGAGGCUCAACUUCGAGCUGUCGGUGGAAACUGUCUGGCUAGAGUCCGGAAGAGGAGAAUGGAAUUCCUGGUGUAGCGGUGAAAUGCGCAGAUAUCAGGAGGAACACCGGUGGCGAAGGCGGGUCUCUGGGCAGUAACUGACGCUGAGGAGCGAAAGCGUGGGGAGCGAACAGG